rnacentral:rRNA from 1 species
AACGAACGCUGGCGGCGUGCCUAACACAUGCAAGUCGCACGAGAAAGUCCUUCGGGAUGAGUAGAGUGGCGCACGGGUGAGUAAUGCAUGGGAACGUGCCUCUAAGAGGGGGAUAACUACGGGAAACUGUAGCUAAUACCGCAUAGAAUCGAGAGAUUAAAGGUGGCCUCUGCUUGCAAGCUACUACUUAGAGAUCGGCCCAUGUCCCAUUAGCUAGUUGGCGGGGUAAGAGCCCACCAAGGCGACGAUGGGUAGCUGGUCUGAGAGGAUGAUCAGCCACACUGGAGCUGAGACACGGUCCAGACUCCUACGGGAGGCAGCAGUGGGGAAUUUUGCACAAUGGAGGAAACUCUGAUGCAGCAACGCCGCGUGAGUGAUGAAGGCCCUUGGGUUGUAAAGCUCUUUCGGUUGAGAAGAAGGGUGGUAUGGCUAAUAUCUUUACCAUUUGACGGUAUCAAAAGAAGAAGCACCUGCUAACUUCGUGCCAGCCGCCGCAGUAA